rnacentral:tRNA from 1 species
UAUAAGGUGUCCGAGUUUCAGGUGUUGGUUUGUAAAACCAGUUACGGGUGUAUUGAUCCCUCUUAUAGG